UACGUAGGGUGCGAGCGUUAAUCGGAAUUACUGGGCGUAAAGCGUGCGCAGGCGGUUUUGUAAGCCAGAUGUGAAAGCCCCGGGCUUAACCUGGGAAUGGCAUUUGGGACUGCAAGGCUGGAGUGUGGGCAGAGGAGACUGGAAUUCCUGGUGUAGCAGUGAAAUGCGUAGAUAUCAGGAGGAAUACCGAUGGCGAAGGCAGGUCUCUGGGCUGACACUGACGCUCAUGCACGAAAGCGUGGGGAGCGAAACAAG
rnacentral:rRNA from 1 species